CAGUCACUGUCGCUAACUAACCCGCUAGCGAUGUUUUUAUGAGUCGCACAAAGUAUAAGCUAAUAUCUUACUAAGAUUGCAUCUGAAGGAUGUUACUUUAGAUGUACUUGCGUCCAUAUUCAUGAUGCAUAUAAUAAAAUCAGAAACAAAAAGAACGAUUUCCCUGAGAUGUGAGUCCUGUGACUGUUAAGAAUGUCUUCUCAGAAAGAGACGAUGCAAGUCCUGCCUAUCUGGGGACUUGCUAUCCCUCUUCCAGCUGUGUUGAUGAUCACUGUAAGUUGUUACAUGAUCAUCCUGGGGAUCGGGUUGUUGAUCCGAUUCUGUCUAAAGGACCGCUGUUCCUCUGAGUGUGGUGACUGCUGUCCAGACAUUUCUGUGUGUGAGCAGUGCCUGAGAAUGGCUGAAAUUUGUGACUGUCGCCUGCCAACAGUGCGCUCAUGUGUGAGCACUUUGUGCCCUUCUUCCACUCAGAUUUGUCUUUUUCCUUAGGAACAUCCAAUUUACUGUGCCACGUGGGACUGUGCCUGCACCUGCCAGCCACCUGAGUGUGAGUCCUGCAACUGUCUCUGCUUCGAAAUCAGGAUCAAGUAGAAAAAGCGUAUAAGGUGUUUCUCUGAGACGAUUAUUUUGUUACUGCUAUUAGAAGAAAUUUUAGAUUUUUUAUUACAAAACUUCCUACAAUACACAAAACCUCUUCUGUAUCUUUUGCUUUCAGAUGUUAAAGCUGAAUCAAAGUUGUAUUGUUUAUUUUGUAUGUCUGAUUGUGUGUAUCUGGGUGUGUGCAUUUGUUUCUCGACAGUUAGUUGAGGUAAUGUUUACUAAUUGCAGAAAAGAGCUAUCUGUGAUAUCCAAUAAAUUAAACUAAUCAAAAUUCAUUAUUGUUAAACAUAUGUCAUACUGUAUCUGAUCAUAAAAGUCAAAUUUUUGUACUUGUCGUUAGUCAAACCGGUUUACAUUUUUUAAUUAACUGUAAUCUUUUUGAAGGUUUUAUAAAACUCAUCUUUGUGUAGUGGAGGAAUAUUACGUGUUUAAAACUGAACAAAAGCUCUUUAUCUUGAUUAGAAAGUCAAAUGAAGUUUUUUUUUACCUGGGGUAAUGGGUCUUUGGGUCUCACUUUACUUUUACUUUUUGAAAUUUAGAGUUUUGCUUUUAAAUUUAGGCUCAAAAAUUCUUAAAAUGAUAAUCCUGUAUGUGAACAUAGCUCAAGAAGGAAAUCCAGGUAAACCAGACCAGACAGUAUUCUUAUUAAAGCUUUGCAAUGUAGCUGAGGGUUCCCUUAACAAUUAAGUCCUGUAGAUACAAUAAAGGCGGUUCUCUGCUUACUUUUAUGUGUUAAGAGAUUCAGCCAGUAAGUAAGAUGUCAGUAAUCAGUACUAAUCUUUACUGUAUGUUCAGUCUGGUUCUGUUUUUACCAACAAAUAUGAGUUUGUCAAUUAGUGGUGUAAUGUUUACGUACAGUAUAUUGGACCUUUUAAACAUGUAUGUGGAGACAUAUAAUAAUAUGACGUAUGAUGACAUAUGAUGAUUAUACUGUAGUAAUAUUGCUUUAUUGACUGAGCUUUUGCUUUUGGAGUGUCACUUCACAAGCCCUCUCUAAAUUCAUAAACAUUCAUAAACUAAGUUCAUAAACUAGUUUGAAGGAUACACAUUAUGCCUUAAGAUUAAGUGGAUGCUAAUGUACUAUAACACUUACAGGACAGAAAUUAAAAGUGGCAGAGCCAGGGGUUUUAAUUCUAUUUUUCAAAAGGAAAGACAUAUAAUUGUGAAGUAGAAAGAAAAUCAUACAUGAGGUAAUUUUUUUUUACAAAUAAAACAUUCAAAAGUAUUCACAGGGCAGCACGAUGGUGCUGUGUGUAGGACUGUUGCCUAAUAGUGAGAAGGUCCUGGGUUUGAUUCCUGGGGUGGACACGUAUGGGUGGAAGAUGGAUGGAAAAGUAUUCAGCCCCCAGGUCAUUACUUUGUGGAACCCCCCUUUUACUGCAGUUACAGCUGUCUGCAGUCUUUUGGGGGUAUGUCUCUACCAGCUUUGCACAUCUAGAGACUGAAAGUUUUGCCCAUUCUUCCUUGCAAAACAAUUCUAGCUGAGUCAGAUUAUAUUCCAUUCCAACACAUAUACUGUAAUAUGUUUUAUUUUAAACCAUUCCAUUGUAGUCUUGGGUUUAUGUUUAGGGUCGUUGUCCUGUUGGAAGGUGAAUCUCUGCCCCAGUCUCAAGUGUUUUGCAGACUCCAACAGGUUUUCCUCCCAGAUUGCCCUGUAUUUGUCUUCAUCCAUCUUCCCAUCAACUCUGACUAGCUUUGCUGUCCCUGCUGAAGAGAAGCGGCCCCAGAGCAUGAUGCUGCCACCACCAUGUCUGACAGUGGGUAUGGUGUGUUCAGAGUGAUGUGCAGUGUUAGGUUCCUGCCACACAUAGUGUUUAUGUUAAAUUUAAAAGUUAAAUUUUGGUCUCAUCUGACCAGAGCACCUUCUUCCACACGUUUGCUGGGUCACUCACAUUGUCAUAGUUUUGGGUUUUUGUGUAUGUUUCCGGUUUUAUUUUGAAGUCACUUCCUGUUUUGUGUUAGUCAUUCCACAUCCCACUUUAUGUUUUAGUCACGUGAUCCAUCAGCUGUUUUUUUAUCCAGUCAUUAGCGUUGUAUUUAAGGACUAUCACUUACCUGAGUUCUCCGCCAGAUCGAUUUGACUUAGUCCGUUCCAACAUUCAGUUUUUGCAGCUUAACUGUUGCCACCCUGUCUGUUUGCACGAUUCGAUUCGUGUGGAUUCUCCCUGUCGGUACUGUAGCCUGAGUAUUCUGUUGUGUUUGACAUCCUGCCUGAUCGACCUGCCUAUCUGCCAGUUGUCUCUGUACCAUUGCCAAUCUGCCCGCCUGGUUUUCGACCUGUGAUUGUAAUUGACCAAGAGAAACAUUAAAACCUUUUUAUCUGCUACCACGUGUCUCCGAAGCUGUGCAUGUGUGUCCGCCACCUCCGCUCAACCAUCGUUUGUGACACACAUGACUUCUGGCAAAUUGGGACUUCUUGUGGUUUUCUUUUAACAAUGGCUUUCUUCUUGCCACAUUUCCAUAAAGUCCUGAUUUGUGCAGUGCAUGACUGAUAGUUGAACUGACUCCCCCACGUGAGUUGUAGAUCUCUGCAGUUCAUCCAGACUCACCAUGGACCUCUUGGCUACAUCACUGAUCAGUGCCCUCCUUGCUGUGGACUCUAUUCAUUCACACUGCACUUGUAAGUUGUUUGUUUGUAAAAAAAAAACUUGUCAAAUUAUAUAUAUGUAAAAUAUGUAUAUUUUUUGUAAUUUCUUUUCUACUUCACAAUUAUAUGCCACUUUGUUUUGGUCUUUCACAUACCAUUCCAAUAAAAUAUAUUUAUGUUUGUUGUCAUAA